GACCCCAAGGUUAGAGAGAAUUACAUUAAAACAAGGCUUGUUAUUGACCCCAAGGUUAGAGAGAAUUACAUUAAAACAAGGCUUGUUGUUGACCCCAAGGUUAGAGAGAAUUACAUUAAAACAAGGCUUGUUAUUGACCCCAAGGUUAGAGAGAAUUACAUUAAAACAAGGCUUGUUGUUGACCCCAAGGUUAGAGAGAAUUACAUUAAAACAAGGCUUGUUGACCCCAAGGUUAGAGAGAAUUACAUUAAAACAAGGCUUGUUAUUGACCCCAAGGUUAGAGAGAAUUACAUUAAAACAAGGCUUGUUGACCCCAAGGUUAGAGAGAAUUACAUUAAAACAAGGCUUGUUAUUGACCCCAAGGUUAGAGAGAAUUACAUUAAAACAAGGCUUGUUGUUGACCCCAAGGUUAGAGA